AUGUACAUCAAGGAGGUGACCUUGGAAGGAUUCAAGUCCUACUCGACGCGGACGGUGGUGCAGGGAUUCGACCCGUUUUUCAACGCCAUAACAGGGCUAAACGGGUCGGGUAAGUCCAACAUUCUCGACUCGAUUUGCUUCGUUCUGGGCAUCACCAAUUUACAACAAGUGAGGGCCGCCAAUCUGCAGGAGCUGGUGUAUAAGCAAGGCCAGGCCGGAAUUACUAAGGCCACCGUGUCGAUAGUCUUCGACAAUUCGGACCGGGCGCGCAGUCCUCUCGGAUAUGAGGCCCAUUCGGAAUUCACGGUCACGCGGCAGAUUGUGGUUGGUGGGAGGAACAAGUACUUGAUCAACGGGAAACUUGCGCAGUCAAGUCAGGUCCAGAAUCUUUUUCAUUCGGUGCAGCUCAAUGUGAAUAAUCCGCAUUUUCUGAUUAUGCAGGGCCGGAUUACCAAGGUUUUGAAUAUGAAACACCCCGAGAUUUUGUCUAUGCUUGAAGAGGCUGUUGGGACGAGAAUGUAUGAGACCAAAAAGGAAGUGGCUCUUAAAACACUUGAGAAGAAGCAGAGUAAAGUUGAUGAGAUUAAUAAGCUUCUGGACCAUGAGAUACUGCCUGCGUUGGACAAGUUGAGGAGAGAAAGGACACAGUAUAUGCAAUGGGCUAAUGGCAAUGCUGACUUGGAUCGGCUUAAAAGGUUUUGCAUUGCUUAUGAAUAUUUUCAAGCGGAGAGGAUUAGGGACAGUGCAGUUUGUGAGGUGGAACAAGUGAAGGCCAAAAUUUCUGAGGUUGACGAUGAUACCAGAAAUAUGCAGGCAACAAUAAAGGAAAUGGAAACACAAGUGUCCAAGUUGACUGCUGAAAAGGAGGCUAGUAUGGGUGGAGAAGUGAAAAAUCAGUCUAACCAAGUAGAUGUGCUUUCUCAAGAUGUGGUGAGGGAAGUGUCUAUACUGGAUAAUAUGAAGGACAAUCUUGAUACUGAAAAUGAAAAUGGUAGAAAGAUUGCUUCAACAUUGAAGACAUGAAACAAAGAUAGGGACUGUGCUAUAAGAAAUGCCGAAGAAGGAGCUGCUGAUUUGAAAAAGAGAGUGGAGGAACUUUCUCAUAGUCUGAAUGAGUAUGAGACUCAGUACCAGGGUGUAAUCGCUGGCAAGAGUAGUGGAAAUGAGGGGAAAUGCCUCGAAGAUCAAUUGGGUGAUGCCAAAAGAGCUGUAGGGAGUGCUGAAACAGAACUGGAACAGUUGAAAACAAAAAUUUGUCACUGUGAAAAGGAGUUGAAAGAGAAAAGUUCUCAACUAAUGUCAAAGAGUGAAGAAGCUGUUGCUGUAGAGAGUGAGCUGAAGGCUAGGAAAACAGAUGUUGAAAAUGUUAAAUUGGCACUGGAGUCUCUUCCAUAUAAGGAGGGCCAGAUGGAAGCUUUGCAAAAGGACUGAUCAUCUGAGUUGGAGUGUGUGCAGAAGUUGAAGGAUGAAAUGUGUAAUCUUUCAGGACACUUGGGAAAUGUUGGCUUUUCUUAUAGAGAUCCUGUGAACAAUUUUGAUAGGUCUAAGGUCAAGGGUGUUGUUGCAAGACUUAUCAAAGUGAAGGAUAGCUCCACAAUGACUGCCUUAGAGGUCACUGCCGGUGGAAAGUUAUUUAAUGUUGUUGUAGACAUGGAAAGUACUGGAAAACAACUUCUUCAGAAUGGCAAUCUUCGAAGAAGAGUAACAAUCAUACCCUUGAACAAAAUUCAAGCUCACACGGUUCCUCCUAGGGUUCAAAAUGCUGCUGCUAAAUUGGUUGGCAAGGAAAACGCUGAACUUGCACUUUCUUAGGUUGGCUAUGAUGAGCAACUGAGGGUAUCUUUCGGGUGGGGUGAUCNGUUAAGGCAGCUUCAUGAGCUGGCUGAAGCUGAGCUAAAACUCUCUGAGCAUCAGAAAAAGUUGACUGAGAUUGAAGCUAUGAUAAGAGAGAUUCAGCCUCUUCACAAGAAGUUCAUGGAGCUUAAACAACAGUUAGAACUCAAAUCAUAUGACCUUAAAUUAUUUCAGGGCAGGGCUGAACAAAAUGAGCAUCACAAGAUUGGUGAAUUAGUAAAGAGGAUUGAGCAAGAGCUACAAGAAGCUAAUACUGCAGCCAAAGAAAAGAAACUUUUGCAUGAAGAUUGUGUGAAUAAAGUGUCAUUUCUUGAGAAAUCAAUCAAAGAGCAUGACAACAGUCGGGAGGGAAGGCUGAAAGAUUUGGAAAAGAAGAUCAAAGAGACAAAAGCUCUACUCCAGUCAGCUUCAAAGGAUCUCAAGGGACAUGAAAAUGAAAAGGAGAAGCUUAUUAUGGCAAAGGAUGUUGUUUUAAAAGAGCUUGCAUCUUUGGAGACGCAGUUGUCUUCUUUGAGAGCACAAAUUGAUGGACUCGUUUCAGACGUAGAAGAGCAGAAAGAGAAGGUAAAUUUUACAAGAAAUAAGCAUGAUCAUGCAAAAUCCCAGCUUGAUUCAAUUUGUAUGAAGAUGAAGGAGUGUGAUUCCCAAAUUAAUGGCAUUGAAUCUGAGCAGCAAAGACUUAAAGACAAACUUCGCGAGACAGAUCUUGAACGGAAGAGGAUGGAAAAUGAGGUAAAACGAAUGGAAACGGAACAGAAAGACUGCUCUACGAAAGUAGACAAGUUGGUAGAGAGGCAUGCCUGGAUAACUUCUGAGAAACAGCUAUUUGGAAAAACUGGGACUGAUUAUGAUUUUGCAACGCGGGAUCCUUGCAAUGCAAGGGAGGAACUAGAUAAACUGCAGGCUCAACUAUCUGGCCUUGAGAAAAGGGUGAAUAAGAAAGUUAUGGCAAUGUUUGAGAAAGCAGAAGACGAGUACAAUGACCUAAUGUCUAAGAAGAACAUCAUUGAGAAUGACAAGUCUAAGAUGAAGAUGGUGAUUGAAGAGCUGGAUGAGAAAAAGAAGGAAACAUUGAAUGUUACUUGGGUCAAAGUUAACAAAGACUUUGGGUCUAUCUUUUCUACCCUUUUACCCGGCACAAUGGGAAAGCUUGAACCUCCUGAAGGGUGUAGUUUCCUAGAUGGCCUUGAGGUGCGUGUUGCAUUUGGGGGUGUUUGGAAACAGUCUUUGUCAGAACUGAGUGGAGGUCAGCGAUCCCUGCUGGCACUUUCUCUGAUCUUGGCAUUGCUUCUCUUCAAACCAGCUCCUCUGUAUAUACUGGAUGAGGUUGAUGCAGCUCUUGAUCUAAGUCACACCCAGAAUAUUGGAAGAAUGAUCAAAAGUCAUUUCCCACACUCCCAGUUCAUUGUGGUUUCACUGAAAGAGGGCAUGUUCAAUAAUGCUAAUGUCCUUUCCGAACAAAGUUUGUGGAUGGAGUUUCAACUGUUCAAAGGACCGUUGCUAAACAAACAAGUGAUGCUGAACGAUGGGGGAGCUGUUCUUGGUGCAUUCCUCCGGUGCUGCUUGAGAAGUUGGCGGAUCAAGAGAUCACUGAGUACUUCGGACGCCUUAUGGGGGUCGACAAAAAGGUGCUGGAGAAAUGGACUAGAACGUUGACGGCCAUUGAAGAGGUGCUGAGUGAUGCUGAGGAGAAGCAACUAACACGAAGAGCACGGAGGAUAGAAAGACAACAAGGAAGCAAAAGCAAGUUAUGGAGCUCACUCUCUAAAGUUAAGUCCAAUUUUGAUCUGAACUCAGCAAUCAAGAAGAUAAGUGAUCGACUUGUGGAGAUAACUACACGAGGAAAGCAGUUUGAUUUGCAGAAACUUGGAGUGUCUAAAAAGCCAUGGAAAAUGCCACCCACUACUUAUCAACUUGAUGGACCUGUGAUCGGAAGGGAUGAAGCAAAGGCUAAGAUUCUCUAUGAUUUGCUUUCAAAACAAGAGAAUUAUCAUGUGGUUGGUAUUGUCGGUACUGGAGGACUAGGAAAGACAACACUUGCUAAACAUGUAUUCAACGAUGCUGCAACUGGCCAGUUUUCCCCAAAAGGAUGGGUAUCUGUGUCAGACGACUUUGACAUUGUAAGGGUGGCAGCAGCCGUUUUGGAAUCAGUCACGUCCUCUCCAGUUCAGGAAUUGAAGGAGCUUAACUCAAUUCUGGAGAAGUUAAGUAAGGAAUUGGCUGGCAAGAAGUUUUUAAUUGUUCUUGAUGAUGUCUGGCACACUUGUAGCUAUGGUCAAUGGACUACACUGCAGGCCUCCUUUCGUGUUGGAGCAGCUGGAAGUAAGAUCAUCGUGACAACACGUGACGCCAAUGUCGCAAAUAUGAUGGGAGAUAGUAGCCCUUAUAACUUGAACCCGAUGUCAGAAGAUGAUUGUUGGGAACUCUUUCAGCACCAUGCACAGUUAAAAAACAGACCUGAAGUUGUUGAGUUCCUUAAAGAGAAAAUUGUACAAAAAUGCAAUGGGUUACCGUUAGUUGCAAGGACUCUUGGUGGGCUUUUACGUUGUAAAGAAGUAGACGAAUGGGAAGACAUAUUAGACCACAAGAUGAGGACUCUAUCAGAUCAGAACAAGAAGGAAAUCCUUCCAGCAUUGAAACUGAGCUAUCAUUAUCUCCCUUCGACUUUGAAACGGUGUUUCUCCUACUGUGGAAUACUUCCAAAUGAUUAUGAAUUUGAGGAGAUGCAAUUGAUCCUUUGGUGGAUGGCAGAAGGUUUGAUUCCGCCCAAAGAACAUGAGCAAAUGGAAGAUUUGGGACGUGACUAUUUUCAAGAGUUGGUGUCCAGGUCAUUAUUUCAAAAAUCAAGCAAAACAGAGUCGAAAUACAUAAUGCAUGACCUGGUUACUGAAUUGGCACGUUGGGCUGCAGGAAGCUCAUGUUCUAGAUUGGAGGAUAUGCAGAAUUAUGACUCGCAGCAACGUACAUGUUUGCCCAAGGUUCGUCAUUCGUCUUACAUUCUUGGUGCGUAUGAUGGGGUUAAGAAGUUCGAGGUCUAUUCUGAAGCUACAUCUUUGCGAACGUUCUUACCACUUUCACCUUCAUAUGGUCAUUAUCUGGCUCAUAAGGUUACUUCUGAUUUAUUUCCCAAACUCCAUUACUUACGACUCCUCUCUUUGAAAAGUUAUCAAAUAAUCGAGUUGCCGAAUACAAUCAGUGAAUUGAAGCAUCUACGUUAUCUUGAUCUCUCCCACACUCGGAUAAGAAGUUUGCCAGACUCGACAACAACUCUGUACAACUUGCAGACAUUGUUAUUGAAAAGUUGUGACAAGUUGAAGGCACUGCCCACAAGCAUGAGAAACCUAGUUAAUUUGCGUCAUCUCAACAAUUCAGGUACAGAUUCAUUGGAAGAAAUGCCUCCUCAGCUUGGUCAAUUGACUAACCUCCAAACAUUGCCUGAGUUUGUUAUUGGCAAAGGUAGUGGAUCAGGAGUAAGAGAGAUUGAGUCAUUAUUGCAUCUGCAAGGGACAUUGCACAUCUCAAGACUAGAAAAUGUGAUUUGUGUCGAGGAUGCCAGGAGUGCCAACUUAAAGAGCAAGGAAAGGCUUGAAGCCCUAUUUCUUGAAUGGUCUUCUUCGAGUGUCUCAACAGAAGAUGCAGCAAUUGUGCUUGGCAUGUUACAACCUCAUAGCAAGCUCAAAAAUCUCACCAUCAAAGGUUAUGGUGGAUUGAAAUUUUCAACAUGGAUUGGGAAUCCUUCAUUCACUAAAAUGGUGCGGGUAAGGUUAGAAGGUUGUAAUCAUUGUCAAUUCUUGCCACCAUUCGGACAGUUGCCUUGUCUCAAAGAACUUUGUGUACAAGAAAUGGAUGCAGUUGAGAGUGUUGGUGUUGAGUUUUAUGGAGAAAGUGACCUGCCGUUUCAUGUUUUAGAGACCCUGGAGUUGCAUUAUCUGAAAAAUUGGAAGAAGUGGUCUCAUUGCCAACAAAGUGAGGGUGUUGAAGUUUUCUCUUGCCUGAAAAAGCUUUCCAUCAAGGACUGCUCCAAAUUGGAGGGUGAUUUACCGGAGAAGCUUGAUUCAUUAGCACAGCUUGAGAUUUGCGGAUGUGAGGAAUUGGUGGUUUCAGUAUCCAAAUAUAAACAGCUUCACCGAUCAAACAUUGAAAAGUGCAAGAUGGUGGUGUACGACACAAGUACAGUUCAGUUUGACUUACUAGAGAGUUUGACAUUUUCAAAUGUAUCAGAAUUGAGAUUCCAAACAGUGGCGUUCAUGAAAAGCUUGAAAAAUGUUAAAGAGUUGAGGAUCACUGGUUGUGAGGAGCUUACAUGUUGCUUUCAAAAUGAGGAUAGAUUACUGCAACACUUGAUUUCUCUUGGUCGUCUGUGUAUCGAAGACAACUCGAUCCUUGUUGAAAAGCUAGGGAUUGAAGCAGAGCAGUUGGUGCAAUUGCAAAUCCUGGAUUGCAAGAUUGAACGUCUGGCGUUAAUCGAGUGUGGAAGGCUUUUGAUGGUGCCUGAAGGAUAUCAUCACCUUACAUCACUUAAAGAGCUCCGAAUAAUUAAAUGUUCAAGUCUUGUUUCUUUUCCGGAUGUUGGUCUGCCACCUUGUCUUCAAGAGCUGCACAUAAGUGAAUGUUCAAGUCUUGUUUCUUUUCCGGAUGUUGGUCUGCCACCUUGUCUCCAAGACAUAGUGAUUCAUGACUGCGAAUCUCUGUUGCACUUUGCAAAAUACCAGAUUCCUCUCAGCCUAAAAAGAAUAAAGAUUAGGAAUUGUGGGAAUUUGAAGUCAUUAAUAGAGAAAGAGGAGGAGGUGGGUAACGGUUCUUCUUCUUCUUGUCUUGAGAGUUUGACGAUAGAGAAUUGUCCCUCUUUGAUGUGCUUAUCAUGCAAAAGUCAAUUACCCAGGUCUCUUAAACAGCUUCGGAUAGUGAGUUGUGGACAGCUGGAGCUAAUAACUGAGAGGUUCCUCGAUGACAGCUGGCAAGUCGAACAAAUUUUCAUCUUUCACUGCCCAAACCUGAAAUCCUUACCCGAGGGACUGUGCCACCUCACCAAUCUUCAGUCAUUAACUGUUUUGUAUUGUCAAAGUCUUAUUUCGUUGCCGAGAAUGAAUGUGUGGCCGAGAAUGAUACGGAUCGUAAAUUGCGAUAAAUUGGAGGUGGCACAGUUGGCGAGAGACAUGAUGCACACCGAGACAUUGGAAAUUGAUUACUUUGAAGGUUUGACAACUACAACUUCCUUCCCCACCAACCUAACAUCACUGGAAAUUCACAAGAUCAAGAAUUGUAAGGCGCUGAUGGAAUCUCAAGGGUUGCAGAGACUCGCCUCUUUGAGAUAUUUGUGUCUAUGGGGUGAAGAUGAUGGAGGUCUGGUGUCAUUUCCACCAGCUGCUGAGAAUUCAAAGGAGACGGAGAUACUGCUUCCCAGAUCUCUUGUUGUUUUGAGUAUUGUAGACUUCCCAAAUCUAAAGAAACUGAGCAAGGGCUUUCAAUUCCUCACCUCUCUUGAAAGUAUUCGGAUCAGGAACUGUCCGAAGCUUACAACCCUUCCAGUGGAGGAAGGCCUGCCUCUUUCAGAACUUCGUAUUCACAACUGUCCUCUCCUUGAACAGAGAUACAAAGGACGAUACCGGCACAAGAUAGGACACAUCCCUGAGGUAGUAAUUAAUUUCGAAGACAUAUAAGAGAAAACCAACAGUCCUCGAUGGAGCCGUUUCCAGGUCUCCUAAUGCUCAAAACUGUUGAUCACAUCCUUUUCCUCCACAAAAUAUGAUAUUAAUUAAAUUGGAUUUGGGCUACGAGAAUGAGAGCUCUCGCAUUUGGGCUACGAGAGAGCGCUGAUAGUUAAAUUGGUUGAUAUUGUGGACUUCAAUGGUAGCUUUUUGGCUCGUAUGCGUGAUCUGGCCGGUGCGAAUCCCAUAAUAUUAGUCAUUACUAAGAUUGAUUUACUUCCCAAGGGGACUGAUUUUAAUUGCAUUGGUGAUGGGGUUGUAGAGGCCACUGUAAAGAAGAAGCUUAAUGUUUUGAGCAUUCAUCUGAUGAGUUCAAAGUCUUUGGUUGGAGUAGCUGGAGUUGCAUCAGAGAUUCAAAUGGAAAAAA